rnacentral:SRP_RNA from 1 species
GUCAGGGUCCCGCGCGGCGGAAGCUCGUGAACCGCGUCAGGUCCGGAAGGAAGCAGCGCUAAGCGGUGUCUUUCGGGUGUCGCGGGGCAACCUUGGCCGA